rnacentral:rRNA from 1 species
GAUGAACGCUAGCGGCAGGCCUAAUACAUGCAAGUCGAGGGGUAGAAGAGGCUUGCUUCUUUGAGACCGGCGCACGGGUGCGUAACGCGUAUGCAACCUACCUUCAUCUGGGGGAUAGCCCGGAGAAAUCCGGAUUAAUACCGCAUAAAAUCACAGGAUAGCAUUAUCCAAUGAUCAAACAUUUAUGGGAUGGAGAUGGGCAUGCGUGUCAUUAGCUAGUUGGCGGGGUAACGGCCCACCAAGGCGACGAUGACUAGGGGAUCUGAGAGGAUGGCCCCCCACACUGGUACUGAGACACGGACCAGACUCCUACGGGAGGCAGCAGUAAGGAAUAUUGGUCAAUGGAGGCAACUCUGAACCAGCCAUGCCGCGUGCAGGAAGACUGCCCUAUGGGUUGUAAACUGCUUUUAUUCGGGAAUAAACCUUAUUACGUGUGACAAGCUGAAUGUACCGAAGGAAUAAGGAUCGGCUAACUCCGUGCCAGCAGCCGCCGUAA